rnacentral:lncRNA from 1 species
GUUUUUUCUCUGCUGAAGAGCCUUUGCAAACUUUUCUUCACACCUUUGUUAUGUAUAUGAUCUAAAUCUCAGAGCUAAAAUAUUGGGCACUUCUUGAUAACUAGAGGCAUCUGAAGUAAUUACUGUCACGAUGACAAUGGUGUCUCUGAUUCCAGUGUAAGCAGUGAAAGGCAAUAGAGUGAGGUCAAAGGAUCUGAAUUCAGUGAUGAGAAUUAUAAAAGCUGUUUAGACAGCUUGAAAACUAUUAGACUACAGAAAAAAAGGUUGGUAAAUCUAUUUCAGUAUCUUAGUUGUAUGUUUCCAUUGUUUUAAAUUGCCUUUAAAAGGCGUUCAACAGUUGAAAUAAAAUCCACUACUAAGCAUCAGGAAAGUUAUGUUAGGAUUUCUUAAUGCACUACGUUAAUUAAUUCUACAAACCUCCCACUCAGUUUCUCAUCAUCAUCCAACAAGGCUGGAUUCUGAGAGAGGCUUUCUUCAGGAGCAGAAUGCUUCUGCUGUUUGUGCUCUAUCCCUGCCUGCCAUGUAGUGAAAUAACAAUGUACUGAAGGACUCCAUAGCCUAGGCUGAGUCUUUGACUCAAUCUACACCCAUUUAACUACUCCACUGUGCAGCUGCUAAAAUGCCAACUAGUCUGUGCCAAAGAAUGUGCUUUUUUUGUUUUUUCCAAUUGGUAACAAUUCUUCACUCACUUAGAGGUUUGUGUUUCUUUUAGCUUCUUUCUUCCAAAAUUUAAUUUCUUAAUAGAAUUUAGUUUUCUAAACCCAGAGAAUAUAGGGUAUCUUGUUAUGAUUGGUUUGGUCCCCAAACAAAAUUUGAAGGUUUUACCAUGUGUGGGAUGUCCAGUGGUAUAUGAAGAGUCAAAGAUUCUCAGAAUCAUUUGAGGAUGCCAGCUGGAACUGAUCCUCUCUUAACAGGCACAUGAAAAGCUGGGUGGAUGGAAGACACCCAAAUUUGUCCUCAAGAAAUUCCCUUCUAGGGAAACAGCAUAAUCUGCAGGUGGCAAAAUGGUGUUUUGGGGAAGCUGAGUUAGAGUUUAGAUAAUGGAAGGAGCCUCUUAACACAGGUGGAGUUCUGGUGUAGAACUACAUUCAAGUCUUACGUAUGUAUGAACGUGCAUUAAUGAAUCCCUGUAACUCUAUAUUACCAACAGCUUCAGCAGGCUAUUCAGAGUCGUACAGAGGAAAUUUGUAAACAGAUGAUGCUACAUGAACAAAUGUAAUUUACCCCCAUUUAUAUACAUACCUGCCACAGAGGUGUGACAGUUCGUUGCUAAUUCUCAGAGCAGAACCAGAAAUUUUACUCCCUUUUUCCAGACAUCUCACAAUCAUGGGCUUCUGUAGCUUUCUAGGGGCCAGAGUAGCUUUGCCAGUUCCCUUAAACUGCUAACAGCAUUAAAACAGACAAACAAAAAACCCCAAUCCUUAGAAUUAUGACUAUGCAUGCAAGUUUACAGGUGGGGAUGGGAUGGGUUUGUUUGGUUUCUCUUUUGACAUUUCAGAUAUACAAAUUAAUAUACAGAGCAGAAAGCAGGGAGUUAGGUAGCUUCCUUAGGCACCUCAGAUUUUCCAGCCUAAGAUGAUUAUACCUCCAUAAUAACAACUUCAAGUAAAUAUAGGCAAGUUCUCACUUGAUACUGAGCUGCUAAGGGAAAAGAACAAGCUGACGGAAUGUUAUUGCAUUUUAUGCUCAGAAGCAGACCAGUGUAUAUAAAUGGAUAUACUUCUAAAAUAAGGAAUCACACAUUUUGAACAGCAAGUCAGUUUCCCAUUGUAUACUCCUGAUAACAAGGGAAAAACUUAAAAAUAUAGCUGUACGUGAAGAAGAAUAAACCUGUGCUUAGGACACUUACACCAAUUCCAUUAAACUGAGGUUAUUCUAAACAAGCUACUUAACACAGUGAUUUGGGAAGGAUAAUUUUAUGCAUACUAUCACCAUUUAUUUAAACAGUCAUAAAGCAAAUCAUACAAAAAUCAUACAAAAAGCCAAAAACAUUAAAAUUCUUGUCACUUUCUUCCAGCAAAUAACGUAGUGCAAAUUAAAGGCUGAACAAAUUUAACAUCUUCUGUUCAUUUCAUAGUCCUUAAUUUAAACAAAGCAGUUAAUACGCAUGGCUAAUGAAAUGCCCAUUUACAUGAGGAAAUGGGAAAGGUUUUUAUUCUGAAAGUGGAACGUGGGUAGUCUGAAUGCUAAAAUCUACAAAGCAUCCUAAGGAUGGGGCAGGAGCUGAAGGAUGUCAUCUUCAUUUAUUUUUUCUCUGGAGUUUCAUGUUUUGCCCAGUCCUCAAAGCCACCAGCAUAGUGUUGAACUCUGAAAGUAUGCAGAAGAUACAUAUCGUAAAGGACUCUCCUUUAUCAAGGUACGUAAGAAAAGAUGGGGAAGAAAAGCCACAGAAAAAAAAAGCGUAAAGAAAUCAUCUUAAAUACACUUGUAUGUUAUACAAUGAACCAGCCAGAAACGAGGGAAGUCAGACACUGCCUGCAUCCAAACAGUAUAUUCCGUAAGUCAUUUCUUCCAAAUAAUGCAAUGCUGGAGAUCAAACAUCAAGCAAGUAGUAGCAGAUGGAUCAAUGAAAUAGUUUGCCAAUGAACUCACUGUAGUGGGAUGUUACAUGAUAUUGUGCCUAAUACUUCAGAUGUCAUGAAAUAAAAGCACACAGGUCUUUAGUCUCUUGCAAACAUACAUCCUAUAUAGAUCUGACAUAAUCCUGGGGAAAAAAAGAGUCUUGAUUAAAAAAGAAACACCAUGCAAACCCAUAUAGACUCCUUCAGUUAGGCAGUGUGAAAAACAGGUGGUAAAGGUUAUUUUGCGCUUAUUUAAACAAGAGCAAGAGCAUAUAAUAUUCAUAAAACAAGAGCAUGGUUCCAUACUUUUGACUAUAACUGGCAGGGAUACUCCAGUUCUUGAAUCGCUGUUCAGUAAAAACAUGGGCAAACAACCAAUUCUUGAAGUUUCACCUGCAGCCUUCAAGUCAGCGAGAUGCCUUCUGUCGAGACCCUAACAUUUCUACCAGCCAAAUGCUACCCUUUCUUUCACUCUGUCAAUCUUGUCUUUUUCACCAGUCCCUUCACUACUUUGUAAACAAGGCACUGCUUUACUGAAAGCAAAGCCAUAUUUUAUCAGUGGUGAACUGUAGAGGUGGAACAGCAAUUUCACAAAGGAUAUGGUAUCAUAAACUAUCUAAGAUUUUACUUCUACCAAAAUAAGAACUAUUCUACCUUUCCAGUCAUCCUGCAUGUGAAGAUUAGUGUUUAUGAUGCUGUACAAGCAGCAUCUCAGCAAGGACUAAGUGGAAAGUCCUUCCAACACCAAUGUGGUCCUGCAGCACAUGGAAUCACCUUCAGCAUAAAAGCAGAGUUGCUGGGGGUUGUUUUACAGGACAUCUCAGUUUGCUGUAACACCAAGCAUCAUCUUUCAAGGUUCAGUGGGGACAUGAGGAGGCACUUCUUUUUGGCAGUUCUCUACCUCUAAGAUUAAUCUCUUCAUUCAUGUCCCACAUCAAAAUUAUUACUCACAUGCAUUGGAAACUGAGAGAGAUUUCUACUUUACUUACUGGGAGAGGUUGUAGUAACUUCAUCCUUAUGCAUGAUUUCAUGCUUACCUGCUGAAACCCAGGGACGCAGCAAAACUGAGUGCUUGUCUACUUCUUGUUCCUGCAAAGCAGGAGAAAACCACGUGGUCUGACUUGGCAGGCAUCUUCUGAUUGUACUGCUCCUUAAAGUCUGCUGGAUUCAUCUGCAGAGCUUCCACUAACUCAUUCAGUGGUAUGUUGACAGAUGCCGGGAUUUUCCCAUCUCUCUCAAUCUCCCACCUCUCUCGAACAUCGAUGUGGAGGACGUUGGCUUUCUUCAGGUCCUUGAGCUCCUG